AUACGUAGGCAGCGAGCGUUGUUCGGAGUUACUGGGCGUAAAGAGUGUGUAGGCGGUUUCGUAAGUUUGGUGUGAAAUCUCCCGGCUUAACUGGGAGGGUGCGCCGAAGACUGCGAGGCUCGAGUGCCGGAGAGGUAAGCGGAAUUCCUGGUGUAGCGGUGAAAUGCGUAGAUAUCAGGAGGAACACCGGUGGUGUAGACGGCUUACUGGACGGCCACUGACGCUGAGACACGAAAGCGUGGGUAGC
rnacentral:rRNA from 1 species